rnacentral:lncRNA from 12 species
UAGUUAAAACUUUUAAGUUCUAUCUUAUUCACUUCUGUGUCCUCAGAUAUUGGCACAGUGCCUACUGCUGGAAGAGGAGAGAAAAAAAAGAGAAAGGAAAGGAGGAAAGGGUGACCAUGACAAUGAAUUCCAUUAAGCAUCUGAUGAAGUGGGACUGGAAGCAGACCUAACAGCUCUCCUGAGAAGAUUUUUUCUAUACAGUGACUCAAGGAACUGAGGCAUCAGAUAAUUUCUUCU